GUCCACGCCGUAACGAUGAGAACUAGGUGUGGGAGGUGUCGACUCCUCCCGUGCCGUCGCUAACGCAUUAAGUUCUCCGCCUGGGGAGUACGGCCGCAAGGCUAAACUCAAAGGAAUUGACGGGGCCCGCACAAGCAGCGGAGCAUGUGGUUUAAUUCGAUGCAACGCGAAGAACCUUACCUGGGUUUGAAAUGUUGGUGACAAGCGUGGAAACACGCUCUUCCUUCGGGACACCAUCACAGGUGGUGCAUGGCUGUCGU
rnacentral:rRNA from 1 species